GCCGGGCGCGGAGGCGUGUGCCUAUAGUCCCAGCUACUCGGGAGGCUGAGUUGGGAGGAUUGCUUGAGCCCAGGAGUUCUGGGCUGUAGUGCGCUAUACCCAUCGGGUGUCCGCACUAAGUUCGGCAUCAAUAUGGUGACCUCCCGGGAGCGGGGGACCACCAGGUUGUCUAAGGAGAGUGAAUUGGCCCAGGUCGGAAACGGAGCAGGUCAAAACUCCCGUGCUGAUCAGUAGUGGGAUCGCGCCUGUGAAUAGCCACUGCACCCCAGCCUGGGCAACAUAGCGAGACCCCGUCUCU
rnacentral:SRP_RNA from 1 species